CUCUCCUUUGUUCAGAGACAGCCCGGCAGAUCUAUUCCCUAAUAAAGGCUUGUUGUGGCCUGGUCUGGUCUUGGUCUUCGGCCCUUUUACCUGACAUUUCUGGUGCCGUGACUCGGAUGGUAGAUGGUCCAUUAAGGGACGAUCCCCCCGCAGGACGGGGUUGAUUGACCUUUUGGCCAUCUCCAACGGACCUAUCUGCCGUUGCCAGGACCCUCCGGGGCUUUCUACCUUUGCCAUUGCUGACGCUACACAUCCACACCGGUCACCAAUGUCUGGGUGAGUAGGGAGUUCAGCCUCCCUCUCGUCGGGUUCUCUGUCUCGUUCUCUCUCCCUCCGGGGACUUCCUCAGAAAUCCAAGCGCUUGGUCAGAGAAACCCCCACGGCCUCUGGGCCCAGGACCGUGCCCCUGGGAGACGUCCCAUCGGCCCGCCUCCUCUCGUUCUCUCCCUCUGGGAGACUCACUCGGAGAUUGUCAAAGGAGACAAGGACGCUUCUCCCCUUUGUCUUUCUCCCCAGGGGCUGCCUCCCCCUCACCCGCUCUAAUCAGGGGGCCCAACAAUCCAAACCCCGCCCCUCAACGCCUCUGGGCUGCCUUCUGGCACAACUCAAACCCCUCGGAUUGUUGGGACCAGACUUUAGGCCAAAAAGAUUUGUUUUCUAUUGUAAUCAGGUUUGGCCUCAGUAUAAAUUAGAUAAUGGGUUUCCACGCCCCAAAAAUGGCACUUUCAAUUUUAACAUACUGUGUGAUUUACACAACUUCUGUCAGUGCAAUGGCAAAUGGUCAGAAAUCCCCUACAUACAAGCCUUUUCUACCUAUGCUCUUAACCCUCCCUCUGUCAAACCUGUUCUUCUCAAGUACUCCUAGCCUGAGCUGAUCACUCACCGCUCAUACCUCCCCCACUUUAUAACUCUGUUGAUAAGAAAAAGUUUUAAAGCUUAAUAGAUUAGCUAUUAAAGUAGUUGUGGAAGCAAACUAAGUAGUGUAUCCCUUUAAAAACUUGCAUUAGCCCAUUGCUUCUGCUGUUCAAAGUAAAGGUUAUAUAGCUUCUUUGAUUUGUAGCUCCACUAUAGAUAACAUCCUAACUAAAGAAUGAAGUAAAAAUCCUUGAACAAACUUGUGAUAUAUGUGCCUUAAUUGUCAUGUGUUUAGGGCUGUAAUCAGUGACAGAAACCACCUGUGUCUAACCAUUAAACAGGAAUUAGAACUUUAUUUACUUAACAAAGACCACUAGGGAUGAGAUAAUGAUGGACAAAAGUAUAAAAUGUUUAUAGUGAGUCGGAGACAAAAUAUUUAAAAAGCUAUAAGUAAAAGAUAUAUUUUUGAUAUAAAAGGAUUUUAUAUGUUUGUCUUAUUAGCAGGACAAGACCAAAAGGCCUAAGUACAUCAAGAAGGUGUGCGAAAGUGAUUUAUAAAGGAAAUAUAUGUUUACUUGUUGGUUUCAAGUUUAUUAUAAAAGGUUUACAGGAAUAGAGGUUUCAUUCCUUCUGAUUUUAAUUCUACAAGAGAUCUCUGUUAAUUGACUUACAAAAAGUUUUAAAUAGUCUUAUUUAUAAUUAUAAACCUAAAAUUAUAAAGAGAUUAUAAUUCCAUUGGGCUAAAUAUAUUUGAGUGCACUCUAGUUUUAGAAAUUGUCUUAUAUCUUUGUUUUUGUCCAAUCCUACAGCUGUUUUAUUUAUAGAUAAAGGUUAUUAAGUUCAAGGCAUGCUCCCCUUGGUGAACAAAGGAGCAGCCGCAUGGAAAUAUUUUCCAGUCUUUGUUCACUAGGGGGACCUCAACAGUUUUCAUCUUACAAGAGACUGACCCAAUAGUUUUCAUAGCCUUAUAAAAGACUUACAGGAAUAAAUAUUAUUUAAAUAUAUUAUUAUACUGUUUAUAUCAAUUGUCAUCAAAGGGAUAAAUUCUAAAUAUGUUAUUAUGGUGUGCUUACACUGGUCAUUUUCAAAGGACUAAAUAUCCUGUAAAAAACAACAAUAACAAGGUUUUAUUUUUUCUAGUGUACUAAAUGUAUUUAUACUUUCUUACUGUACAGGUUUUCUAAUAUUUGUUUAUGAUAAUAACCUCUUUUUGAUUCAGGAAUUCAACUACUAAAAAACAACCAUGACUGAUGACAGUAACAGUUCUCUAUAUUUUAAAUUCCAAAAUGUUUGUUAUUCAGGUAAAACUAUAAUAGUUAAGUUCAUUAUUCUUGUUACAAUGCUAAUGCUAUUGACCUUCUCUUCUGGGUGUUCAACAACUAAAGUUUGGAGACCAAAACUAAAAAGUAACUGGGCUAUGAGGACAGCCAAUAUUUUGGCCCUGGCCCCUCAAGGUCAACAAAGUUCCAGGACAUGAGGGAACCUUCUCUACAGGGUCCUACAUCUUUGGUAAGUCACUCAACCUCCUAAACUGGGAGAUUGCUGGACACCAGAGGACAAUGUACUGUGUGCCAAAGGAGGGUCACCAAGAAAAACUCUCCACUGCUUUCACUGAAAGCAACUUGGUCAAACAAGGCCAUAACCCAUCCAGAUGGCUGACACUGACAGAGAAGCAGAGAGGCACUAUGCAUGGUUCCAAAUAAUGGCCUGGGGAGACUUAACUGACCUUAAUAGAUAACAAGAGGUUCAUAUUGAUUGACACAGGUCUCACUUUAACUUGGUCUUAAACACCCAGCAGAAAAAAUAACCAAAAGAGGCACAAAACAAUGACAUAAUAAUAAAGCUAGACUUCAGAAAAAUUAAGACAUAGCCCACCCAUUAAAAUCUUUUGGUUCACUCAUGACACAGCCAUUUCAAAAAGACAAAACUUUGGGUACUAAAGAGAAGCAAAAAUCAUUAAUUAGCUACAAGUGUGUACAGAUUCUUUUCAAAAAAAAUUAAAAGAAGUUAUUUACAGGUAACCAAUCCUAGAAACCACUGGUCUCCAGAUCUCUCCUUUUAGAUAAGUGUUUUUCUGAUUCUGUGAUAACUAAUUAACUAUCGUGUAAUGAUAAAAAAAAAAACAACAAAAAACCAUAAAGUAAGAGUAUUGAGAAAAAAUCACGUGCUUGUCAGCCACAGUCAGGAUAAGUUCUAUACCAAGCAGCUACAAGAUUUAUUCCUUUUAAAAUAAUGUACAUCCUUGUUCUCUGUUUAUGAUGCCUCUUCUCAUUGUGCUCAUACUUUCUGGAUACCUACCCGUGUCUAAAAAGAUCAAGCCUUUUAUGCUACACUUGAUCACCUUAAGUCGUCCAGUGUCCUUGUUGAGGUUAUCAGUUCUCUUUAUUUUUAAAUAUAUCUAGGAGGCCUCCAAAAACUGAGAGAUACAGGAAUAAAACUGUCCUGGCCUUGAAUUUAAAGAAGAAGUCAGGUUCAUAGUAACACUACACUCAUUGGUAUGUUGGCCUCCAAAAGACAUUUGCUCAGUUACAUACACCUUUUAUAUUCCCCCCCCCAAAAAAAAGGAUUAUAAAGAUUAUAUAAAUUGUGUUUAUCACUUUUCCACUCAUUCUCUAAGAGCAAGGACAUGACACAUGGGCCCUUAGAUCAGGAGCUAUGAUCUCUUCCAUAACAGUCUCUUACUUCUAUAACAAAUGAGCCCCUAAACAUCCAGCUGUCUCUGUAAAACCUAUGUAAAUAAUAAAUAAAAAAUUACAUGUCAAAUGAAAAAAAUUAAAACUCAAUGGGCCAGAUAGAUAUGCCCCCAAGGUACUAAUCAAUACUGGGGUACGUUUGGUUCCUGGAGCUCAUGGCUCACCUGGCUAUUACUACUCUUGGGACCCCUCAGUAUUAUCUGUUUAAUUCUCUGUUUUGGACCGUGCCUGGUUCAGCUGUUUUCAAAAUUUCUUGCAGAAACGAUUGAGGACAUUCACCAGCCAGACAGUCACAGAGUUCAUCAUGGCAGGGAACCAGCCAGUACGGCAAAAGGAAGAGGUCCCCACUUGCCACCGGCCUCAUCAGAUCCAGGUCUAGCCCCGAUCUUCGCCCCUUGUCAGCAGGAAGCAGCUCCAGAAGAAGAGACCUUCGCCCAACUAUCAUAAAACAAAAGCCUGGAAUGAUAGGUCUCCCACCACCUCAGCAGCUAUUAAGUAUAGUAGCUGCCCUCUUCCUAUGGUGCCUUGCCCCCUCCCCUGUGUGACAUCAUGCCAAGAUGGUUGCUCCCACCAAAGAACAAACCCUUCUUCCCAGCAUGCCCCUGUUCCAACCUAGAC
ensembl:lncRNA